GGUGGCUCAGUGGUAGAGUGCUUGCCUUGCAUGCAUGAAGCCCUGGGUUCUAAUCCUCAGCACCA
rnacentral:tRNA from 1 species